AAGAUAAGGAUCUUUCAAGAACACUCGUGCGGCACAUUUUGGAAUUUUCUUCAGCUUCGUACGAGUUAACAUGUUCAUUAUAAUAUUAGUAUAUUAUUAUUAUUAUUAUCUUUUGGUGGUGGGAUGCAUUUUUGUGAGAUCGAUCGAUUUGGUGGCAUGUUUGCGUGUGGUGCAAGGUUCCUAUCUCGUCGAGAUUCAGCUCCAUAAAGCGCGGGAUGAGAGUGACAGCCACGUCAGCAGAGAGGAAUUCCCCUUCAAGCCCAAAAAAGCGCGAGAUAAGAGGGGGCGUGGAGCAACACGUGACGACUCCAAUGUGUUCAUCCAAAUCCGUUCGAAGGUUGUGCGGCCCCAUCAUCUUCAAAUAUAGUUUGAAGGAUGUUCUGAACCAAUGAUAUUAUUAGCUCCGGUCCCUCGUCAUAUGAUGAUGAUAAUAAAAGAAGCUUUUUAAGCGAAGAUGAUGACAAUGAAGAUGAUGAACUUGAGGAUUGCAUUUUAUUUAGAGAAUGAUAAAUUUGAGAGUGAAAGAAUGUGUUUGUAUGGAGAAAUAAAUUGGAUAUGUUGUAUGUGUAUGGAAAAAUAAGUUGUA